rnacentral:rRNA from 1 species
UACGGAGGGUGCAAGCGUUGCUCGGAAUUAUUGGGCGUAAAGGGCAGGUAGGUGGUCUCAUUUGUCUGGGGUGAAAGCCUUGAGCUUAACUCAAGAAGUGCCUCAGAAACGGUGAGACUAGAGUGCUGGAGAGGGUCGUGGAAUUCCCGGUGUAGCGGUGAAAUGCGUAGAGAUCGGGAGGAACACCAGAGGCGAAGGCGGCGACCUGGACAGUGACUGACACUCAACUGCGAAAGCGUGGGGAGCAAACAGG